rnacentral:rRNA from 1 species
AGUGAACGCUGGCGGUAGGCCUAACACAUGCAAGUCGAACGGCAGCACAGUAAGAGCUUGCUCUUACGGGUGGCGAGUGGCGGACGGGUGAGGAAUACAUCGGAAUCUACUUUUUCGUGGGGGAUAACGUAGGGAAACUUACGCUAAUACCGCAUACGACCUACGGGUGAAAGCAUGGGAUCUUCGGACCUUGCGCGAUUGAAUGAGCCGAUGUCGGAUUAGCUAGUUGGCGGGGUAAAGGCCCACCAAGUCGACGAUCCGUAGCUGGUCUGAGAGGAUGAUCAGCCACACUGGAACUGAGACACGGUCCAGACUCCUACGGGAGGCAGCAGUGGGGAAUAUUGGACAAUGGGCGCAAGCCUGAUCCAGCCAUACCGCGUGGGUGAAGAAGGCCUUCGGGUUGUAAAGCCCUUUUGUUGGGAAAGAAAAGCAGCAGGUUAAUACCACGCUGUUCUGACGGUACCCAAAGAAUAAGCACCGGCUAACUUCGUG